CACGGAGGAAGCGGGAAACUUUUUGGGCCCUUGCCGGAGAAAGCUUGUCGGAGAAUUAAAUAACCAUCGGAGCAAUGGAGACUUGAAGCUGAUGAUCAUCAUUUGACGAAGUUUACUUUUUGUCUAUAGUGAAAAAUGGACAUUGACACUUUUAAGAAAUCGGGGGCCAAAUCUCCUUGUUCGAAUUACCGCUGAGUCGGUACGGAAAGUUCGGAAAACCCUAAACCCUUCUUCUCUUAGCUCUUCCACAUGGCGUCGCCCUUUUGUCUUCCUUUGGUUUCCGAGAAUUUCAGUGAAGUUCAUGAUGCAAGAAGCUACCUAUCACCCUUUGCGAGUUCCAGGUCGGAUCUUGAUGCUACGACCUCUGAAGAUCAAGCUGCUUCACAACACAAGAGAAGAAGAAUUGCCUCUAAUGCUGAUCUUUCAUCUCAUGAUCAUUUGAAGGAGCAGAAAAACUCCUUUCCGACAUUGCAGUCUCCUGAUUAUUAUAUGUCUCCAAGCUUAGAGGAGAUGUCUAACCACGUUCUGAAAGAUCCCGAUUACACUAGUCAAGUGUUAGAUUUUACUGUAGGACGUUGUGGUUAUGGGUCUGUUAAGUUUUUUGGUACGACUGAUGUCAGAUGGUUAGAUUUAGACCAAAUUGUGAAGUUUCAUAGGAACGAAGUUAUUGUGUACGAAGAUGAAACCACCAAGCCUAUAAUUGGUCAAGGUCUUAACAAGCCUGCUGAAGUUACUUUGGUUCUGCGGUCAAUAACAGCCAGCUUUUUGGAAAGGCAAUUUGAUAAUGUUGUGAAGAAAUUGAAAUACUUUACCGAGAAACAGGGAGCUCACUUCAUUUCAUUUGAUCCAGAAAAUUGCGAAUGGAAGUUCUCAGUUAACCAUUUCAGCCGGUUUGGCUUGACGGAAGAUGAAGAAGAAGAUAUUGUAAUGGAUGAUGCUAAUGCGGUACAAGAUCCUGCAGAAAUCAACUGCAACGAGAUUUCUGAUAAUAAUGAAAACAACUCAAUGGACUUCACUGAAUCUGUGCUUUGCCAUUCCCUUCCCGCUCAUCUUGGGCUUGAUCCAUUAAAGAUGAAAGAAAUGAGAAUGGUUAUAUUUCCUGAAGACGAGCAGGAGUUUGAGGAUUAUAAUGAAUCUCCUAAGUUUCAAAAAUCAUUCACAGGUAGAGAAUAUAUGAGAUCUCCUUUUAAGGAUUCUUCUCAGAGGACGAGCCAAAAAUUAAAUUCUCCAGUUGUCAGAAAGACUCCACUAGCAUUGCUUGAAUAUAAUCAAGGUAGCCUUGACUCAUAUUCUCCUGGUUCCAUUUUGAUGUCCCAACCAAAAAAGGUUACUCCUGUUAAGCGCUUGAAAGCAGAAGGUUUCAAGCUAGACCUUAUGCAUGAAACUCCAAUUACUAUAAAUCAUUCUUGCAACAUAGUUGAUGCAGGUUUGUUUAUGGGUAGGUCAUUUCGUGUUGGGUGGGGCCCUAAUGGCAUCCUAGUUCAUACUGGAAAUUUGGUGGGGAGUACGAAUUCACAGAGGGUCCUAUCAUCUGUAAUAAAUGUAGAGAAAGUUGCCAUUGACAAUGUGGUGAGAGAUGAAAAUGGUAAAAUGCGUAAAGAAUUAGUUGAAUUUGCUUUUGAUCUUCCUUUAAGUUUACAUAAGGAAAUGAAUCAUGAAUUUGAAGAAGGAUCCUUCAAUUUGAAACUUCAAAAGGUUGUCUUCAAUCGUCUAACGCUUCCAGAUAUUUGUAGGGGCUAUAUAGAUAUCGUUGAAAGGAAGCUUGAAGUUCCUGGAUUAUCUUCUUCUACUCGUUUAGUUUUGACACACCAGAUAAUGGUUUGGGAGUUGAUAAGAGUUCUUUUUUCUGAAAGGGAAAAUGUUGGCAAUAGUUUGGCUGACGAUAAUGAGGAAGACAUGAUGCAGGAUAUAAAAGAAGCUUCAUUGAAAUUUGACUUGGAAGCACUCCCUCUUAUUCGGAGGGCUGAAUUCAGCUGUUGGCUGCAAGAAAGUGUUUUCCCCCAGGUGCAAUAUGAAAUAAGUUCAUUAAAUGAUUCCAGUUAUCUUGAACAUAUAUUUUUUCUUAUGACUGGGCGGCAGCUGGAUGCAGCAGUGCAACUUGCUUCUUCUAGAGGUGAUGUGAGACUUGCUUGUUUGCUGAGUCAGGCUGGUGGAUUCACUGUUGGAUCCACUGUGAGUCGCAAUGAUGUUGCUCUACAACUUGAUAUUUGGAGAAGGAAUGGAUUGGAUUUCAGCUUUAUUGAGAAGGAACGGACACGGUUAUAUGAGUUGCUGGCAGGGAAUAUAUUUGAUGCUUUGCAUGACAUUGACCUUGACUGGAAGAGAUUCCUUGGGCUGUUGAUGUGGUAUCGUCUACCACCAGAUACCACUCUGCCUGUAAUAUUUCACUCUUAUCAGCAUCUUCUUAAGAGUGGAAGGGCUCCACUCCCUGUUCCAGUUUAUGCUGAUGGGUCUCAAGAACUGGCUUUGAAGUCUAAUACAAAUGAAUAUCUUGACCUCUCAUAUUUUCUCAUGCUGCUUCAUGCUAAUGAAGAUCCUGAAUUUGGCUUUCUUAAGACUAUGUUUAGUGCCUUCUCAUCAACAGAUGACCCACUUGAUUAUCACAUGAUCUGGCAUCAACGUGCAGUGUUGGAAGCUAUUGGUGCAAUCAGUUCUAAAGAUCUGCAUAUUCUUGAUAUGGGAUUUGUUUCUCAAUUGCUGUGUUUGGGGCAAUGCCAUUGGGCCAUCUAUGUGGUCCUUCAGAUGCCCUUCCAUGAUGAUUUUCCACACCUCCAGGCUAAAGUUAUCAGGGAAAUCCUAUUCCAAUACUGUGAAAUAUGGAGUUCACAGGAAUCACAAUUUGAAUUUAUUGAGAACUUGGGUGUUCCAAGAAUAUGGCUACACGAGGCGAUGGCAGUUUUUUUCAGUUACCAUGGGAAUCUUCCAGAGGCCCUCGAACAUUUCAUUGAAUGUAGAAAUUGGCAUAAAGCUCAUACUAUUUUUACAACUUCAGUUGCUCAUAGAUUAUUCCUUUCAGCUGAGCACUCAGAUAUAUGGAAGCUUGCUACUUCAAUGGAGAUCCACAAGUCUGAAAUAGAAAAUUGGGAAUUUGGAGCUGGGAUUUAUAUAUCAUUUUAUUCUCUGAGGAGUUCUUUGCAGGAAAAUAAUGAAGGGAGUGAACUGGACUCACUUGAGAGCAGAAAUGUUGCUUGUGAGGAAUUUCUUGGUCGACUAAAUGAAUCAUUGGCGGUUUGGGGUGACAGAUUACCAGUUGAGGCAAGAGUUGUUUACUCAAAGAUGGCCGAGGAGAUAAGUAGAUUACUUCUGUCAGAUAUUGGGGAGGGUUCUACUCGUGAUGCUCAGUUGAGUUGCUUUAACACUAUUUUUACCGCCCCAAUGCGAGAGGAUCUUCGCUCAAGUCACUUGCAGGAUGCUGUUUCCCUUUUCACUUGUUACCUGUCAGAAAUCACAUCAUAGUCUUCACCUCUCUGAACACGUUUUCCGCAGCUUCAAUUUUUAACCGGAGGAUCAUGUUUUUUUUUUUCAUAUAAUCAAUGCCUCUAUCCUUUGCAGUAUACAGUAAAGGCAGGAGUGAAGUUUUGCAGACCCCUGCCUAGAGAAAAGCAUCAACGAAUCAGCUUGCUUCCGAUGCGAAUGACUGAUCUUUAGCUUCGAUUUUGUUGCGGACUUACCAGGAAAUUUAGAGUUAAUGUGUUGCCUGUAUAUUGAACUAGGAGAUUUGUUUCAUAUUUGUACACAUUUGAAUUUUAAUUGGUUUGAUAGAUCUGAUUCUUUCCCAUUUCCGUAUUGAAACAUCCCCUAAAGAUUUAUGAUUUGAUAUGUAA